GACGAACGCUGGCGGCGUGCCUAAUACAUGCAAGUAGAACGCUGAAGACUUUAGCUUGCUAAAGUUGGAAGAGUUGCGAACGGGUGAGUAACGCGUAGGUAACCCGCCCACUAGCGGGGGAUAACUAUUGGAAACGAUAGCUAAUACCGCAUAACAGCUUUUAACUCAUGUUAGGAGCUUGAAAGGUGCAAUUGCAUCACUAGUAGAUGGACCUGCGUUGUAUUAGCUAGUUGGUGCGGUAACGGCUCACCAAGGCGACGAUACAUAGCCGACCUGAGAGGGUGAUCGGCCACACUGGGACUGAGACACGGCCCAGACUCCUACGGGAGGCAGCAGUAGGGAAUCUUCGGCAAUGGGGGCAACCCUGACCGAGCAACGCCGCGUGAGUGAAGAAGGUUUUCGGAUCGUAAAGCUCUGUUGUAAGAGAAGAACGUGUGUGAGAGUGGAAAGUUCACACAGUGACGGUAACUUACCAGAAAGGGACGGCUAACUACGUGCCAGCAGCCGCAGUAA
rnacentral:rRNA from 1 species